rnacentral:lncRNA from 1 species
AUUAGUUGUACUACUAGGGGUGGAGUGGCUCUGGGCCUUGUACCCCUGGGAACCCAGGCCCCUGGGAUUAGAGAGGGGAACCCAGAGCGAGCGGCCAGGAAAGGGAAGCGGAAGUUCCAGGGUGUAGAAGGUGUAAAAGCGCUCCUGGGACUCCAUCUGGUCAUGAAACCCCCCUCUUUGUUUCCUCUGCUGUCCUCACUGUAGACUUAAAGGUAAGCUCUGCGCACAACCCCAGAAAGGAAGAGGAAGUGAAAGCUGAAAGAAAGCUGGGAGGCUUGUGCAAACCUCAGGGCUUCUUGCAACAGCCUCACUUCUGCCCGGGCGCACAAGGCCCCGACUCAGCAGUGAGAGGCCCAGGGGGGCUGGGGCGGCAGGACAGGGUGCGGGGAGUGGGACCAGGGGAAGUGCGUGAGUCUCUUCCUUAUUGGAUUCUCUCUCUGUCUCAGCUUCCGCUUUUCUUUGUGGACAGAUUUGCUGACGCCUGACACCAGGAGUCAGAGUGGCUGGGUCACCAACCCCCAACCACACAGGGUCUGAUGCUCACUACUGUGUCUAACCCCUUCUUCUUCUUCUUUAUUUUUAAUUUUAUUUAUUUAUUUUUUGAGACAAGGUUUUGCUAUGUUGCCCAGGCUGGCCGCAAAACUCCUAGGCACGAGUGAUCCUCCUGCCUCAGCCUCCUGAGUAGCUGGGAUACAGGUGUCCACCACCUCGCCCCACUCAGCCCCAUGCUUUUUUUUGGUUCUGGGUAUUGAGCCCAGGGUGCUCAACCAGUGAGCCUGAGCCCCAGCCCUUUCUAUUUUUUGAGAUAGGGCCUCGCUAAGUUGCUGAGGCUGCCCUUGAACUUACGAUCCUCCUGCCUCAGUCUCCUGAGCCACUGGGUUUACAGGCACUUACCACCAUGCCCAGCUCAGCCCCAUGCUUUUUAAAAGAUAAGAAAACAGGCCCAGGCUGGGGAAGAGGCUGCUCCGAGGUCCACAGGGGGAUGGUGGUGAAGCAUGGACUGGAAGCAAGGGCUGUGGCCCAGAAGCGCCCCUCAGCCCUGCGGCUGGCAAGACCAAGUUCCCAUGCCUCAGCCUGCUACCCCAGGCUGUCCCCAGUCAGGCUCUGUGGUCCCUCUGCACCUCACACACUGAUACUCCCUGCUGCGGGCCUCUGCACGGGCUGACUCCUUGGACAGGAUGACACUUCUUCCCUUGCUCUGGGUGAAUUUUCCUACCCCUUUGGGGUUUAGUGCAGGCACUGCCUCUCCAGGAAGUGGGGGCAAGUCAGGGCCCUCUUCCCCAGACUGAGAGCAUGACUGUGAAAGUUAAAAUAUUUUUUGCUGCUGGGAAUGGAAUCCAGGGCCUUGCACAUAUUGGGCAAGAACUCUACCGCUUAGCUACAUCCCCAGCCUGUAAUGGUUAAUUCUAUGUGGCUAAGCUGUGGUGCUCGGUUGUUUGGUCAAAUUCAUCUAGAUGUUGCCAUAAGGAUUGGGGGUUUUUAGCACAGUGGUAGAAUGAUUGCCUAGCAUGGGCAAGGCCCUGGGUUCAUCCUCAGCACUGGAAAGAAAAAAAAAAAAAAAGACCAGGUAGAUGUUGUUGUAAAAGUAUUUUGUAGAUGUGAUUAACAUCUACUUUAUAAAGUAAAGCAGUAACCUCCCAUAAUGUGGGUGGGCCUCAUCCAAUCAGUUGAAGGGAAGGCCUUAGGAUAAAAAAAAAUUGCUGUUUCCCAGAGAAGUAUUUCUGCCUCAAGACUAACAUACAAAUACUGCCUGAGUUUCCAGCCUGCUGGCCUGCUCUACAGAUUUUGGACUUGCCAGCCCCCACAAUUGCAUGAGCCAAGUUCUUAAAAUAAUUUUUUCUGUAUACACACUCUCACACACUACUGGCUCUAUUUCUCUGGAGAGUGCUGACUGGUACAAUCAUGUUGAUUCAAAAUCAUAUCUGUUCACAGGUCCUCUCCACAAUGCAGACAGUGACCACAGGGGCACAGAGAAGGUCUAGCAAGGGAAUGCUGAGAGAAAGAAACCAGAGUGGGGAAGAGGAAAGGGAUGGAGGAAGCUGUCAGUCACCAAAGGACCAAGAGUGAAUGAAUGAAUGAAUGAGACCUAGAGGGCCCCCUCCAUGCUAAGUGGUGUGCUGCCUCUGAUCUGAAGUCACUUCAGAAGCCAGGGGCCCUGGAUCCUCCCACCUGACAGUCCAUGCACCUGAGUAGACAUGUCAUUUUCUUUACUGUAAAGGAGGGACCCCUGGCUCUCCCAUGGCAGGACAGUGGUCUCACUGAAGACCCUUUGCCUGAGCUACCGUGGCAGCGUACCCUCAAGGCUGGUCUUGGAAUCUUCACCACACGGCUGGAAGGAGCUUUGGGGACCCUCUUGUCCAAUGUGGUCGUUUUAAAGACAUGGAAACAGAGGCCCCAAAGCCACAUUCCCAGCAUAGGAACUCUUGACCCUAGCACAUUUAUUUUAUUCCAUCUGUGCCAAACAUGGCGGCCCUGUCCCACUCGGCCUCCCCGGCCAGGGUGUUCACCUUCUGUGAUCUGGGGGCUCUGAGCGGGGCCUGGUGGCAGGUGGGGAGUGAGGGUCCCCGCCAUUCAGCCCUCCUGGAGGAAGUAUCUUGGGCUCUCAGGAGUUUCACCGCAUAGCUGCGCCUUGCCCCUACCUGCUAAAGCAGUCCCCCAGGGAGAGAGGAGGGAGAAAGCACCAUCCCACCCUGUCCCUGAUGACGCCGCCACCACUUUCCAUCAGGCUUGCAGUCAAGGCUAAACACUCCACCAAGGACCUAUGCAAACUUGCUUGGCUGAUCCCCGCCCUCAUGGCCACUUCACAGCGAGCUGCUUGCCCCCUGCCCUUCAUGCUCCAGCCAUGAGAGCUUCGUUUAUUUCUUUUAACAUUCCUUGCCUGCCUGGGGCCUUUGCACAUGCUUGGAAUGCUCUUCCUCCUUCCUCAUCCUUGUGCUUUCAACUCGGGUAUCACAACAGGUCCCCCAAGUUCUCGGUAGCUUCAGGUUUAAUAUUUUCUUUUCUUGGAUGUCAUGAUUUUUUAAUGAUUGGUUUACUGAUUUGUUGGUACAACUACUUGCUUAAUAUCUGGCAUUCCAGUGAGAGGAUGGCUCCCCAAGGGUAGAGGCCCUGUCUAUUUUGCUCACCUCUGCAUCCCUAGCAGGGUACACAUAGAGACUGAAAUGCUGCCCUUUUGAGAAUACCCAUACUCAAGGGCAAAGGAAAAAAAAAAAAGAGGCCCCUUGCUGAGCCCAGCUUUGGAAAGCAGCCAGAUGGAAAUCAUCCGGUCUGGACUUCCUUUCCCUGAGCUUCAGGCUGGGUUCCUGUUUCCAGGGGGAGGACAGCAGGCCUUGUGUUUCUGCAAGUCUCCUAGCCCCUUCUCCAAUUCCAGAAGCAAUAAGCAUGUCUGUCUCCCAAACGAGGACGCUAUCCCGGACCCAAGAAUCACCAGCUUAAAAAUGCAACAGGGAAAAAAUGAACAAAACUUUGGUUCACAAGUUCAAGGGACAGAGAUAAGAAUCACAAACGAAGGAACAACAUGAACAUCUUUGGGGCCUGGUUCAGGCCCUGUGAGGAGCACAUGAUAUUUCUAGUCCUCUGAGCAGUCCCUUGGGGGUGGGAAGCAUCACUGCCAUCUUACAGAUGUGAAACCUGACGCAGUCCCCAGAAGCAGGGUGGGCAGGGCCCCCACCGGGUCUGCCCAGGGCCAAGGCCCAGUGCUCUCCCCUGCACCAGCUCUUGGUGGGCAUGGACUUUCUGGGUCACGUCUUCCUCCUCUGUCAAGCUCAGUGCAGACCCAGGAGAUCUCCAUGGCUUCCCUUCCUCCUCACCAAGCUCAUCGCGGGUCCCUCCCUCGCUGAGCCCUCCGCCUUCUCCAUCCUGUCUUCCUCUCCCUCCAUUCCUCCCCUCUUCCGUUUCCGUGGCAACCCCAUCCUCCGCUCUGCCACUCGGUCCUGCGUUCCCAUCUCAUCUCUUUCUUUCCUCUUUCAUCUCUCCCCUCUUCGCAGUGCAGAGUCCAAAUCACCCUGUGUCCUUUGCUUCUGGCCUCUAGCUGCCUUUUACUCUCCUUUUAUCUCCU